GAUGAAGAACGCAGCGAAAUGCGAUAAGUAAUGCGAAUUGCAGAAUCCGUGAGUCAUCGAAUCUUUGAACGCACAUUGCGCCCCCUGGUAUUCCGGGGGGCAUGCCUGUCCGAGCGUCAUUGCUGCCCUCAAGCACGGCUUGUGUGUUGGGCCCCCGCCCCCCGGCUUCGGGGGGCGGGCCCGAAAGGCAGCGGCGGCACCGCGUCCGGUCCUCGAGCGUAUGGGGCUUCGUCACCCGCUCUGUAGGCCCGGCCGGCGCCCGACGGCGACCCCAAUCAAUCUUUCCAGGUUGACCUCGGAUCAGGUAGGGAUACCCGCUGAACUUAAGCAUAUCAAUAAGCGGGGA
rnacentral:misc_RNA from 1 species